rnacentral:snRNA from 1 species
GUGCUUGCUUUGGCAGCACAUAUACUAAAAUUGGAACAGUACAGGGAAGAUUAGCAUGGCCCCUGCACAAGGAUGACACACAAAUUUGUGAAGCGUUCCAUAUUUAA